rnacentral:rRNA from 2 species
GAACGGUGUCUUCGGACACAGUGGCGGACGGGUGAGUAACGCGUGAGAAUCUGCCAUCAGGUCUGGGACAACCACUGGAAACGGUGGCUAAUACCGGAUGUGCCCUUCGGGGUGAAAGGUUAACUGCCUGUUGAUGAGCUCGCGUCUGAUUAGCUAGUUGGUGUGGUAAGAGCGCACCAAGGCGACGAUCAGUAGCUGGUCUGAGAGGACGAUCAGCCACACUGGGACUGAGACACGGCCCAGACUCCUACGGGAGGCAGCAGUGGGGAAUUUUCCGCAAUGGGCGAAAGCCUGACGGAGCAAUACCGCGUGAGGGAGGAAGGCUCUUGGGUCGUAAACCUCUUUUCUCAGGGAAGAACACAAUGACGGUACCUGAGGAAUAAGCAUCGGCUAACUCCGUGCCAGCAGCCGCGGUAAUACGGAGGAUGCAAGCGUUAUCCGGAAUGAUUGGGCGUAAAGCGUCCGCAGGUGGCUAUGUAAGUCUGCUGUUAAAGAGUCUAGCUCAACUAGAUAAGAGCAGUGGAAACUACAAGGCUAGAGUGCGUUCGGGGCAGAGGGAAUUCCUGGUGUAGCGGUGAAAUGCGUAGAGAUCAGGAAGAACACCGGUGGCGAAGGCGCUCUGCUAGGCCGCAACUGACACUGAGGGACGAAAGCUAGGGGAGCGAAUGGGAUUAGAUACCCCAGUAGUCCUAGCCGUAAACGAUGGAUACUAGGCGUGGCUUGUAUCGACCCGAGCCGUGCCGUAGCUAACGCGUUAAGUAUCCCGCCUGGGGAGUACGCCGGCAACGGUGAAACUCAAAGGAAUUGACGGGGGCCCGCACAA